rnacentral:rRNA from 1 species
UACGGGGGGGGCAAGCGUUGUUCGGAAUUACUGGGCGUAAAGGGCUCGUAGGCGGCCAACUAAGUCAGACGUGAAAUCCCUCGGCUUAACCGGGGAACUGCGUCUGAUACUGGAUGGCUUGAGUUUGGGAGAGGGAUGCGGAAUUCCAGGUGUAGCGGUGAAAUGCGUAGAUAUGACAUAGAACACCAAUUGCGAAGGCAGCUUACUACACAGUUAUUGACGCUGAGGCACGAAAGCGUGGGGAUCAAACAGG